CAGUAGCCACGGUAAAACGAAGGGUGCAAGCGUUAAUCGGAAUUACUGGGCGUAAAGCGUGCGUAGGCGGUGAGUUAAGUCUGCUGUGAAAUCCCCGGGCUCAACCUGGGAAUGGCAGUGGAUUCUGGCUCGCUAGAGUGUGUCAGAGGAUGGUGGAAUUCCCGGUGUAGCGGUGAAAUGCGUAGAGAUCGGGAGGAACAUCAGUGGCGAAGGCGGCCAUCUGGGACAACACUGACGCUGAGGCACGAAAGCGUGGGGAGCAAACAGGAUUAGAUACCCCCGUAGUCCCUGUCUCUUAUAC
rnacentral:rRNA from 1 species